UGAGUACAAGAUGCUACGGCAUUGAAGCAGUCUAUGUCAUACUUCCAAGAAAAGCUUGCAAUGUCAUAAACAAAUAAUGCCUGUACCAUAACCGACACAGGUGGGUAGGUAGAGUAUACUAAGGGGCGCGAGAUAACUCUCUCUAAGGAACUCGGCAAAAUGACUCCGUAACUUCGGGAGAAGGAGUACCUUAUUUUAUAAGGUUGCAAUAACAAGGUCCAAGCAACUGUUUACCAAAAACACAGGUCUCCGCUAAGUCGUAAGACGAUGUAUGGGGGCUGACGCCUGCCCAGUGCCAGAAGGUUAAAGAAGUUGGUUAGCAUUAGCGAAGCUGAUAACUGAAGCCCUGGUGAACGGCGGCCGUAACGAUAACGGUCCUAAGGUAGCGAAAUUCCUUGUCGGGUAAGUUCCGACCCGCACGAAAGGCGUAAUGAUUUGGAUACUGUCUCGGAGAGGGGCUCGGUGAAAUAGACUUGUCUGUGAAGAUGCGGACUACCUGCACCUGGACAGAAAGACCCUAUGAAGCUUUACUGUAACUUGAGAUUGAAAUUGGACUUUAUUUGCGCAGUAUAGGUGGGAGACCUCGAAAGUAUUCUUGCGGGAAUAUUGGAGUCAUCAGUGAGAUACCACUCUUAUAAUGUUAGAUUUCUAACUUUGUAUCAUUAUCUGGUCAAAGAACAGUUUCAGGCGGGCAGUUUGACUGGGGCGGUCGCCUCCCAAAUGGUAACGGAGGCGCACAAAGGUUUCCUCUGAACGUGUAGAAAUCGUAUCUAGAGUGUAAAGGCAUAAGGAAGCUUGACUGUGAGACCUACAAGUCGAGCAGGGACGAAAGUCGGUCUUAGUGAUCUGACGGUGCUGAGUGGAAAGGCCGUCACUCAACGGAUAAAAGUUACUCUAAGGAUAACAGGCUGAUCUCCCCCAAGAGUUCACAUCGACGGGGAGGUUUGGCACCUUGAUGUCGGCUCAUCGCAUCCUGGGGCGGUAGUACGUCCCAAGGGUUGGGCUGUUCGCCCAUGAAAGCGGUACGCGAGCUGGGUUCAGAACGUCGUGAGACAGUUCGGUCCAUAUCCGGUGUAGGCGUUAGAAUAUUGAGAGGAGCCUUCUUUAGUACGAGAGGACCGAGAAGGACAUACCUCUGGUGUACCAGUUAUCGUGCCAACGGUAAACGCUGGGUAGCUAUGUAUGGAGAGGAUAACCGCUG
rnacentral:rRNA from 1 species